rnacentral:rRNA from 1 species
AUUGAACGCUGGCGGAAUGCUUUACACAUGCAAGUCGAACGGCAGCACGGGGGCAGCCCUGGUGGCGAGUGGCGAACGGGUGAGUAAUACAUCGGAACGUGCCCGGUCGUGGGGGAUAACGUAGCGAAAGUUACGCUAAUACCGCAUACGAUCUGAGGAUGAAAGCGGGGGACCUUCGGGCCUCGCGCGAUCGGAGCGGCCGAUGUCAGAUUAGGUAGUUGGUGGGGUAAAGGCCUACCAAGCCGACGAUCUGUAGCUGGUCUGAGAGGACGACCAGCCACACUGGGACUGAGACACGGCCCAGACUCCUACGGGAGGCAGCAGUGGGGAAUUUUGGACAAUGGGCGCAAGCCUGAUCCAGCCAUUCCGCGUGCAGGACAAAGGCCUUCGGGUUGUAAACUGCUUUUGUACGGAACGAAAAGGCUCUGGCUAAUACCUGGGGCUCAUGACGGUACCGUAAGAAUAAGCACCGGCUAGCUACGUG